UACGAAGGGGGCUAGCGUUGUUCGGAUUUACUGGGCGUAAAGCGCACGUAGGCGGAUCGUUAAGUCGGGGGUGAAAUCCUGGAGCUCAACUCCAGAACUGCCUUCGAUACUGGCGAUCUUGAGUCCGGAAGAGGUGAGUGGAAUUCCUAGUGUAGAGGUGGAAUUCGUAGAUAUUAGGAAGAACACCGAUGGCGAAGGCGGCCCACUGGAUCGGUACUGACGCUGAGGCGCGAAAGCGUGGGGAGCAAACAGG
rnacentral:rRNA from 1 species